GCGUGAGUGAGGAAGGCCUUAGGGUUGUAAAGCUCUUUCGCGCGCGACGAUGAUGACGGUAGCGCGAGAAGAAGCCCCGGCUAACUUCGUGCCAGCAGCCGCGGUAAUACGAAGGGGGCGAGCGUUGUUCGGAUUUACUGGGCGUAAAGGGCGCGCAGGCGGCGGUUUUUGUCAGGCGUGAAAGCCCCGGGCUUAACCUGGGAACUGCGCUUGAAACGGGAUCGCUAGAGUUCGGGAGAGGAGAGUGGAAUUCCCAGUGUAGAGGUGAAAUUCGU
rnacentral:rRNA from 1 species